UAUUUUUUUUAUUAUUUCUGAUUAAGCACUAUAAUUAUUUAUAUUUAUUAAUUUUGUCAAAUAUAAUAAUAAUUUAUAUCUAUUAAUUUUUAAAUAAUCUAUCUCUAAAGUAAUUUUAGGUGUUAAUCUUGUUUUCGUGGGAAAAACUGUAGGGACAAAGUUAGUUGAGAGUCUUUUCCAAUUAUACUUGCAAUUUGCAUAAUCUUUUUACCAACAAUUUUAGUAUACUCAUUCGUAAAAGGAGUUGACACAAAUAUAACUAAUUCGAGACUGAUAAUUUUUCAAAAUAUACAGGUUUUAUUAUGGAAAAAAAAAAAAUAUAACUGUAAAUUUUAAUGAAUUACUGAUUAUAUUCUUAAUGGAAUAAUAUAUGAUAUAUUUCUUAUUUAUAACAUGAGAUUAUGUUAAACUGUACAAGAUUAGAUAGUCUAGUAUUUAACAGUCUUAUUAAAACAUGUGAGAUCGUGCUACAUUAGUAGUCUAGCAUUUUUAGAUUUAUUUUAUUAUUGUUAAUUUUCUGUUAAAGUGAUUAUGUGAAAUCAUAUGAAUUUAUGGUUAAACCUACUUUUUAAAUAAAAUCUGGAAUUAGUUAAAAUAAUAAUAUUCGGAAGAAUGUCUCUAUUUUAUUUUGUUUUUUAUUAAUGACUAUUAUAUGCCAUUUUACCUCUUUUUUUUUUUUUUUUUGUUUAUAUAUUCAAAUAGUACCUUCUAAUAAUGCACGUAAAACCCUAGACUUAUUUUGAAAGAAGGUUUACAAAAUAUUAAAAUAUCUGAUAUAAGCCAAGUAGAAUGAUAUGGAUGGCAUUUUUGCAACUUUGGAAUUGCUCCCAUGGCUUAGGACCCAGUAAGAUUAUGAGACCAGCUAUUAUUUCCGAGAUUAAUCCUUUACCAACAACGAUACAUCGACGAAUUUUGCAACUAAUGACAACGGCCCUCCUUCAUUAUAGCAUCAAAAUACCACAAGCAUUAACUGAGACAAGGGAUUUUGAAAUCUAAGUGGAUUUACAAGCCUUACUGAAACAAAAGAUACUAUCAAUUAAAGUCCUUUUCUGGGGUUUCAAUAUUCAAGUCAGGAAGGUGCGACCUUUGUCUUAUCAUUGACUCCAUUCGAUUUAUUCUCAACUGGGUCAGUGGCCUGUGGCGCCAAGGAUUUCUGUAGUUUCACUGCAGUUCUUCUAAAAGAUUAUGAGAGGAUGAUCAUCUGUCUUUUUGCUGGCCAUGGGGGAGCUGCUCAGUUGGAUAGAUUGAGCGGUCUAUUCCUCCAUAUUGAUCUCCCUCCAACUGGGCUUUUAGGGACAACGGAGAGUUGGUCCUGGGCAUUUGUCUAGUUAUGGAGAUGAUAUAGGACUGCAUUUCUCAAAAUGAAUGGGCAAAAGAUAUCAUGGUAUGAUGACUUCUGUAAAACUACAACAAUUUGUGGAGGAUGGUACAAGGGCCAUUGGUAAAUCACCGCUUCUUUCCCAUGAAGCAUACGUGAGCAUGACUAUUCCCAAGAAUUAGAAAGUCUCAAGGAUCAAGUAUCUUCUCCAAAAAGAGUGAUGACAGAGAACAUUGAGCGAUUUGAAGCUCAUGUAGAGCAAUUUAGAGCCAGAAAGGAUUCUUUGAUGAAAGACUUGUCUUUUUUUCUGUGAGUGUCAAUGGCAGCAAGAUGAUUAGAUGCAUGUUUUUGGGGCUUGAAAUGACUGUUUUUUCUUCUGCCAUUUAUUUUCAUGUAACACCAAUUGGGUUAAUACAAUUAAGUUGCAAAAUAUGUUCCAUAA